rnacentral:rRNA from 1 species
CAGUUAUAAAUCGAAGGAAGUUUAAGGCAAUAACAGUCUGUGAUGCCUUAGAUGUCCUGGGCUGCACGCGCGCUACACUGAUGCGUUCAUCGAGUUUAUCCUUGGCCGAGAGGUCUGGGUAAUCUUUAGUACGCAUCGUGAUGGGGAUCGAUUAUUGCAAUUAUUAAUCGUGAACGAGGAAUGCCUAGUAUGCGCAAGUCAUCAGCCGCCAGAUUACGUCCCUGCCCCUUUGUACACUA